CCCGUGUGACAGUAUCAUCAGCUCAAGGCCAGAGGCUAUGGGAGAAGGUUGGAGGUGGCAGCUGAAAUGUGUGAAAACCCUCCUGCAGGCUCCGUGGUCAGCUCCUACAGUCAGAGGACUUGGCUUGGCCCAGCAUUUCUCGGGUGAAAAACAGCUGAUCUGAUGAGGAUUCUGAAGUGGUCUGCUGCAUUGGAAAUAAAGGUAUUCCCUUGUACUGAAGUUCACUGUUAACUCCAUUUUUUUUUCCAUCCUGUUUACAUG
rnacentral:lncRNA from 1 species